AAAAUAUAUAUUUCUAUGUUAAACUUAUAGCUCAAACUUAGAGUACAUUAAACAAAUUCAAGUGCAUACCCACGAUGCAAAGUGAAAAGUUAAAGAUUUUAAAUGUGAAUGAAAACAUUAUAUAGUAACUAAUAACUAAAACCUAUGAAAAUAAGAUGAAGAUAAUAAAUAAGUAUAUAUUUAUAUAAGUAUUGUAUUCAAAUAUUGUAGCUUAAGGUAAUAGUUUUGUAGUAAUAUGGUCUUAUUUUUUUCCCAUUGGAGAGUCCGCAUUAGUUCUCAUGAGACACGCUAGAAUAAAAAUACAAAUCCUAGAAAUUAUGUAAAAAGUUACCCACCACUACCAUUAUAAAAAUAUUCUAAAAUAAACCCUAAGCAAAUAUCUAAAUUACUGAGCUCUGCCAUUAUAAAAAAAUAAUCUAAAAUAAUCCCAUAAUCCAUCCAAUUUACUCAUGUAUAUCAUUAUAAAGCAUAACUUAAAUACCAUUCUAACUUUGUAUCUAAGUUAGUCACGUACCUAAAGUAAACAUCUAAAUCUCGAUCCAAUUAUCUUCAUGUCCA
rnacentral:lncRNA from 1 species